rnacentral:lncRNA from 1 species
UCUCAUGUGGCAUUUUGUGAGCUCCAAAGGAAUGAGCUGUGUUUCCAAGUACCUACAGGCACUUCAGCUCUUUGCAAGCUUGUCCUGACAUGGCUUGAAUGACACCAAUGUAUCUGGAAUAUUGCAUGGUACAGAAAGUUAAUUUUUAAAUGAAUGAGCUGGGCUGGACUAUAUAAAUUCCUUAACUACUUGGAUAUCAGCUGGAGGAAAAAUCAUGUCAGGUCAUCACUGGAAACUGCUGGCACAGCUCUGAUUUUCAGGAACUUUCAGUCCUCUUAAAUGUCCUCAUUUUAUGGGAAAAUCAGAGACAUUAACUUCCAGGAAGAAGGAAGUGUUCUAGCUAAAUACGGUUUCCAGGGACCAAAACUGCCUUCAACUUCAAUGGUUUCUACUUACUUUUAUUUAACAUCUGUGGCUUCUCUUGUCAGUGAACAUUUGAGACAGCUCUGAACUGUGUUGUUAAAUAAUUUCAAGUUAAUAAUAAUAAUAGCAAUAAUAAUAAUAACAACAGGUUUUUUUUUUAAAUUAUAUGACCUGGACAUUUAAACUCAUUCUCCUUUGUCCCCUAUGGUCUUAAUAGAUAAGGCUGUGAAGAUAGAAAUAUCUUCAUGCUAGGGAAAACCAUCCUAUCAGCUUCUAAUUUGUCAUCUGUCUUUAAAGACAAAAAUAUUACAUAUUGUAAUAGAUAACCAAUCAUAAAACUGUACCAUUGCAUUAUGAAGGGAAUUG